CUCAUCUUGGACACUACAAAAUGAUGGACCUGGAGCAACACUCAUGGAGUGAAAAGCACUCAAGAAGGCCUGUUCCGCUGCACACCAGAAAAACAUGGAAGGAUGAUGGAAUGAAUUCUGUAGAAUUCAGAGUCCUUUCAAGACAGAAGCACCUUCUUUAUACCAACAUCACUGUGGACAUUGGGAAUGCUCCCACUCUGCCUCCCCAAGCACACAGAAAAUAGCUUGAGUAUUGAUGUAGGUGAUGCACAAUUUCCAGGUAUUGCAAUCAGUCAGGAAUCAGAGGUCUACAAAGACUGAGGAAUUAUUUCCUGCUGUGGGCUUCAUCUUUCCUCCAAACAUGCAAAGGUUAGAAGAAACGUCUUCAGGAAUGAGGCAUGAUAGCUAAUAGACCGGAUUCCAUUUAUUGUAAGGAAUCCUUUUAAGCGCUGUAAAAUGUGAGGCUUAUUGAGCCCUUUUCACACACAGCCUUCGGUUGCAGGCUUGAAGAAUAAGUCCCUGUUUAUCACCAGCCAAACACACUCUAAACUGUGUACUGUUAAAUCAGCUGGCUAGUUAAACUCUGCAUAUUCCACUGUUUACUAUUUUAAAAUGGUCAUUGAGAUUAAAGACAUUCUGAGGUAUAUGUUCUAUGUUUUGUUUCGGGGGGUGAGGAGGGAAUACCUUCAACCCUGUCUCACUGGGGAACAGACUCUCUAGUUGCUGUCUUUCUUGAAAUAAGUUUUCUUUUUCCUUUAGUGUUGGAAAGAAAAAUAUUUAACUGUUACAAAUGUAAAUAUUCUUCAGGAAGUUUAAAUAAAGGAUUUUGAAAGUUAAUA